rnacentral:lncRNA from 1 species
UUUUUGCAAUUUUGCGUGUUUCCUUGCUCUGAAUGUUUUGUGCUUUGGCCUUUUCAAUUAUUAAGACAUCUUCAUAGAAAACUUCUCUAUAUGGUUGCAUAUUUUAACCAAAACACAAUUGAUUUUUCUUUUCCUAUUUUUAAUAGGUUCUUUAUCUGCUCGGCUUCUUGGAUUAGUUCAGGUAUUCUCCACUUGGCUUCUUG